GAAUAUUGCACAAUGGGGGAAACCCUGAUGCAGCGACGCCGCGUGAGUGAAGAAGUAUUUCGGUACGUAAAGCUCUAUCAGCAGGGAAGAAAAUGACGGUACCUGACUCAGAAGCCCCGGCUAACUACGUGCCCGCAGCCGCGGUAAUACGUAGGGGGCAAGCGUUAUCCGGAGUUACUGGGUGUAAAGGGAGCGUAGACGGCAGGGCAAGUCUGGAGUGAAAGCCCGGGGCUCAACCCCGGGACUGCUUUGGAAACUGCCUAGCUAGAGUGCAGGAGAGGUAAGAGGAAUUCCUAGUGUAGCGGUGAAAUGCGUAGAUAUUAGGAGGAACACCAGUGGCGAAGGCGUCUUACUGGACUGUAACUGACGUUGAGGCUCGAAAGCGUGGGGAGCAAACAGG
rnacentral:rRNA from 1 species